ensembl:misc_RNA Metazoa_SRP Metazoan signal recognition particle RNA
GCCGGGCGAGGUUGCACGUACCUGCAGUCCUAGCUACUCAGGAGGCUGAGGUGGGAGGAUGGCUUGAGCCCAGGAGUUCUGGACUGUAGUGCACUAUGCCCAUUGGGUGUCCACACUAAGUUCAGCAUUAAUAUGGUGACCUCCCAGGUGUCCCCACACCAGGUUGCCUAACAAGGGGUGAACUGGCCCAGGUUGGAAAUGGAGCAGGUCAAAAUUCCCAUGCUGAUCAGUAGUGGGACUGUGCCUGUGAAUAGCCACUGCACUUCAGCCUGGGCAACAUAGUGAGACCCUGUCUCUU